CCUGUCGGGAGCGUUGGGAGCCAGCACUUCCGAGUGUGCUCUUGACGCCACCGUCUUGGGACGCAGGGAGACUGGGCUAAGAACCAGCCAUUCUGCAGCACGCGAGGACAUGGGACAUCAGCUCAGUGUCCUCCCUGCCCGUCCUCCUCGGCCCGGGCCAUGAUCCGGUGUCCAGGCCACUGUUCCCAUGGCGACUGCCACCUGAAGAGGCCCAGCAUGCAGCUCAGAAUGACUCUACAGGAUGCUGGCCCUGUCACUGACGUCAGUGACCUCCACCAGGGACAUGCACAUGCCAACCAAGAUGAUGAUUCCCUGCCCCAUGUCCUGGAGGCAGCUGGUGGCUGUGCUCUGGCCUCAUUAGGGUACA